GUAUGGUGGCAACGUAGGUCUGGGGUACUUGAAUGCCAUUUCCAAUGGAUCUCUCACCAGCAGAAGGUUUAUCAUGUUGAACAUCGGUAGCGAUAGACCAACCAACGUCCCACCAAUAAUUAUUGCGGCGUGUUUGUUCCUUCUUGUUGCCCAAUACGUCAAAUCUAGCAACAUUGCCGAUGGUAUCCACACUGGGACCGCAACAAAGUCAUAUGGAUAACCCAAAGCAAACCAAGCUCCUUUUGCUACCCAAGUGUAUAUUGUCAUGAUUGUCGCAUAAUAAGUUGCAGUACCUGGUACACCAGUAAACAACAUGUAGUAAAUGGCUCCAACAACAAGCAUUGUUGAUUGAGAAAUCGAAAAUACUACAAAUGAUGUCCACGCCCAGUCAGUAUAGAAA
rnacentral:misc_RNA from 1 species